ACCUCCGGGUCCAUGAGCCGUGCGACCACCAGGUAGUCGCGCAGCGCGAUGGCGUGCCUGUUGUC
rnacentral:sRNA from 1 species